rnacentral:rRNA from 1 species
GAUUUCUGAACUGAAAUAUUUAACCGGCCACGGUUUCGUGUGUUAGUGUUUUGUAUUCUGUUCAUCCUUCCAAUCGCUAUUCUGUUUUCUUCAUUGAUUGCAGAGUGGUAUUGGAUCUUUUACUUUGAAAAAAUUAGAGUGUUUCAAGCAGGCUUUAUGCUAUGAAUACAUUAGCAUGGAAUAAUAAUUUAGGACUUCGGUUCUAUUUUGUUGGUUUCUAGGACUGAAGUAAUGAUUGAUAGGGAUAGUUGGGGGUGCUAGUAUUCAGCGGCCAGAGGUGAAAUUCUCGGAUUCGCUGAAGACUAACUUAUGCGAAAGCAUU